rnacentral:lncRNA from 1 species
GAAGUUUUAAAGUUGAUAUGACCUACAGAGGAGCAGAGAUGAGAGAAGAGGAAGAGGGAGGAAGAGCAGAGGACAGAGAAAAUGAGAAAUUGAUUAAGAAUAGAGAUGGAGAAGAGGAAACUGAAUAGGUUCCUAUGUGUAGUAGUUGCAGCUUUUUACAUGCUGCACCAAUACUGGGUCUAGCUGCAGCUUGGCUGGGUCGCAGAGGCUGAAGAGGGAGCUAAGCCUGGAGAGCUGGGUUAAGUCAGACAGACCCAAAAUCUCUUACACUGAGUCUCAACUUAUUGUCCCUUGUGACUCCAAGGUCAACUUCCCUUCCCUGUUGGCUGAGGAUCCAGGUUCUUGGAGCCCCACUGUAGAAAGACUGCUGAUAUCCCAGAAUUCCAAGGUGGAUGUGCAGAUGAGAUUUCCAGUGACACCCAGCAGACUUCACGCAGAAGGUGGCAUAGUGUAGAGACGGGGCAUUCAUGCUUUACCCUUAGAGAGGCGUUGCUUUGAAUCUGCAUCUGCCCCUUCUUUUGCCUUUGCCCCUACAGAUUCAGGACCACGGCCAGCACCCACACUGCCUUCCGUAAACACUGAGCUAAAUAAACCUAGAGCCUUGGUGAUGAGAUCAGCACUGCCUUUGUAAGUUGGUUUUCUCAACAAACAUCAACUGAACAUCUACUAAACGUAAGAGCACUCUGGCUGUCAACUGAAAACAGCAGCAGCAGCAGCAGCAGCAGCAACACCACCACCAACAACAACGACAACUGUUGCAUAUAUAACUGAAGAUCCACAGAGUCCCUCUUUCCAGUGUUAGUUGCUACAAGGAGUGAGAGAAUGAAGAUCUGACCUCAAGGAAUACAAGAGUUUUGUUCAAAGUUCCAAGACUAAGCUAUUAGAAGGGAGGGAGGGCCUGGUGCCAUGUCAUCUCUGACCAAGAGAAUUGGUAGAAUAGAAAUAAUCUAUUUCUCACGUGGUCUAGGACUUGACAAUUUACAUAGCAGUUUUAUAUCCUCUACUUCAUUUGACAUGCUCCCAUCACCCUGUGAAGCAUGUGUCAUUGUUACCACUCACUUUCCAGAUAAGGAGAGAUGGGGAGGCUCAGGGAGGUGAAUGGAUUUGCCUGAGGCCACUGGUCAGUGACUGAGCUGGGAUAGGAAUUACUUUCUCUGGUCUCUUGAUCUCACCUCUUUGUCUCACUCUUUCUGCUGCAUCUCAGUUGCUUCUGCGUCUGGCCAGACCCAAAAACAAAUCAUGUAAUUGAGUUGGAAUGUGGGUGCUGGGGCCCGGGAGACAAUGUUUUCUGCUUUUCAAUCUGUUCUUAAUUUAUUAAAGUGAUGAAAUAAGGAAGAGGCCCAGAAGGGUGGAUGUUUUCCAUCAGUGAGUCAGGGGAACAUGCAGAGGCAGAAGGUCAGGAGGAAGCUGCUGUUGCUCCAGCAGCUUCACCCACUCUGGCCAAGUCCCCACAGAUGUGCUGGUGGGGGAGACCUUCUUAGAGCUGCCCCAAGAGUAAAAUAAACCAGAAAAGAGCAAGCCCUACUGGAGACUCUCUCCCUCCCCACAAUGUUAUCUCUGACUACCCGAGCACCUUCCCUCUUAUCUGACAAAUGUCCAUUGUCUAAGGGAGAGACCGAGUGAAGGCAGGAGGAGGCCUAAUUCAGCCUGAGGAGGGUCAGGAAAGGCUUUCUAGAGAAGGUGACACUGGCACCUUAGACUUGAAAGCUGAAAAGAAGUGAUCUGGGAAAGGGGGAUGAGGAGGAGAAAGUGUUUUCCAGGUGGAGGAAAUAGCAGGUGGGAGGUUUGGAGAUAAGAGAGGGAAUGGCUGGAGCCAUCAGGGUGGAGAGAUGAGGCUGGACCGGCAGAGGGGUUGGCAGUGCUGGUAUCCAGAGGGCCUUCCAGGUCAGGUUGUUAUAUCUCCUCUGAGGAAGAGUCCUGAUUGUUAGCUCAAUUUAUGUGGUUAGGCAUAGAGAAUGGAUUGCAGGAGACAGUGGCAACCCAAGGCAAGUAAUAAAAAGGCUAGAGAGUUGGUGGGGCCUGAGUAGGGGGCAGUGGGAAUAGGGAUCAAGAGACAGAGAGGUGGAGG